AACGCACAUUGCGCCCGCCAGUACUCUGGCGGGCAUGCCUGUCCGAGCGUCAUUUCAACCAUCAGGCCCCAGGCUUGUGUUGGGGACCUGCGUCCGACGCAGGCCCCGAAAACCAGUGGCGGGCUCGCUGUCCACACCGAGCGUAGUAGCUAACCUCGCUACGGAGUGGCGCGGGCGCCUGCCGUUAAAAAUCCCGAUUUUCGCAAGGUUGACCUCGGAUCAGGUAGGAAUACCCGCUGAACUUAA
rnacentral:misc_RNA from 1 species